CAGCUAAAACUAAAGCAAGCUCGCCUUUUAAUCCCUGUUCGCUGGGCCAGUGAAAGGUUAAACAAUAAACGAACUAAGCAUGUAGAGCCGAAGGCAGAGGACUGACGGACGCGGGUUCAAUUCCCGCCGCCUCCACCA
rnacentral:tmRNA from 1 species